AUUGAACGCUGGCGGCAGGCCUAACACAUGCAAGUCGAACGAGGGGCGGACGGGUGAGUAAUGUCUGGGAAACUGCCUGAUGGAGGGGGAUACCUACUGGAAAAGGUAGAUAAUACCGCAUACCAUUGGAUGUGCCCAGAUGGGAUUAGCUAGUAGGUGGGGUAAAGGCUCACAUAGGCGACGGUCCCUAGCUGGUCUUAGAGGAGGACCGGCCACACUGGAACUGAGACACGGUCCAGACGCCUACGGGAGGCAGCAGUGGGGAAUAUUGCACAAUGGGCGCAAGCCUGAUGCAGCCAUGCCGCGUGUAUGAAGAAGGCCUUCGGGUUGUAAAGUACUUUCAGCGGGGAGGCGUUACCCGCAGAAGAAGCACCGGCUAACUCCGUGCCAGCAGCCGCGGUAAUUC
rnacentral:rRNA from 1 species